AGUAUUUGAGUGGAGGUCACCAUGGCAACUAGAACAGUCCUUCCUAUCAUUUCUCAUCGCGAGAGAGCAGUGAUGAUUCUGGGUUAAUGCUGCAUGUGGGGACUUUUUGAAUACCUUCUCUUAUGAAAAGUCAAACAGCACCGUAGAUGCCCACAAAUGCUAUAAGGGCAGUGGAUUUAUAUCCUAUCAGAGUAAGUGCUUCCUAAUACUUGUCUUUCAUGAAGAAAAAUGAUUAAACAGGGACUCAAUAUGAAUCCUGA
rnacentral:lncRNA from 1 species